AUGAUUCAUGUGUGUGUGUGUGUGUGUGUGUGUGUGUGUGCAGCUUCCUCACAUGCCGCACAUCAGAGAGUGUCUGAUGAAGAGGAGUCUGAAGCCCACGGAUCUCAGAGACAUGACGCUGGGACAGCUGCAGGUGAUCGUCAACGACCUGCACUCUCAGAUCGAGGGUACGACACACACUCCUGUCUCUAUACUCGUGUGUGUGUGUGUGUGUGUGUUGUGCGGAGCUCAGAGACGUGUGUCUGUGUGAUGCUCAGGUCUGAACGAGGCGCUGGUGCAGCUGCUGCUGAUGAGGGACGAGCUUCACAUGGAGCAGGACGCCAUGCUGGUGGACAUCGAGGACCUGACCAGGCGCGCUCAGAGCCAGCAGAAGCACCUGACGGAGAAGACGCUCUCCAAAUGAAGCCGCACACCUCCACAGCAUCACCUUUCCUUUGCUUCUGUGCUCCGUCAGUCCUCCAGGACGUGCUGGACGCUGCCACCGGCUGCUGCAGCCAUCGCCUCAUAGACCGUCUCAGUCCUUUACGUUUGCCACUCAACUAGAACUGUCCGAACAUACAGCGGUGUGAGGAGCUCCACGCCUCCUCCAGCAAGCCCCGAGUCCACUGCUCGGACAGUAUUUAAACACAGCCGAGGGUCUGAAGGUGCUCCAGAGGAAACAUGCCUGCCUUGUAGUCGACUUGUAGCUUUUGGUAACGUUCACUGCGACCGGUACUCAACAUUUCGUGAAUGUUGAGUCUGACACGAGUCGUCUGAAUAAGUGUGUUCAUAUCAUUUUCAUUCUAUUGUAUCCAGAUUCUUUAUUUGAGGGAGAUGCUUAUGUACAGAUGUGUAUAAAAUAAGAAAAAUAAAACUUUGUUUCAUAGACCGCA
ensembl:lncRNA